rnacentral:lncRNA from 1 species
GGCACAGAUAGCAGUCGUGGAUGAAUUAUUUCCCUUCUUAAGCAUCAGCUCUUUAAAACACUAUGGUGAUUUGGAAAGUCCCGAGAGUGAACUGUGAAGUUUUCUUCAUCUCAAUCAAUGGGUUUCUUAAGCAUUUCUCCAAAUCAUUGAUGUUCAGAGAUGAUGUGUGAUGGAAAAAACACCCUGUCUGUGUGUUUAUAGCCCCUGAUUUUUGGAUUAGUUUGCUGUGUUGCUGAACCGAUUUUGUUUCGAGGGCAAGGAGUGAAUGUGAUGGAUUUAUCUUCAGAGAUGAACAAACAUGGAAGGAAUCCAGUAAGUCACAAACUAGAAGAUCAAAAGAAGGAAGAAUUUUGGUGGUUUGGACUUGCAGCAACUUUGGUCGACAAAAAUUUCUUACACCAUUCUUGCCAUGUUUCCUUCUCACUAUUCUGAAGACUGGCAAAUGAAGUCAUAAUGUUGAGUAACAAGUCAUGCAGCUGAUUAGGACAAAAGGAUCUUGUGUAGGUUAGAUCACAGUGUGGUUUGGAUGAUUGUGAGAGAAUCUGCCCCGGUAACAGAAGACAGAGAAGCCAUUAUAGUUAUCCUUGCUUGCAAGUGGCUGCAUCUUUGCCACUGCAGUGUGCUACUACAGUUUGUGUGACUAUUUAUGGUUGUACAAAUACAAAUUAAACUAUCUUUACUGUUUGGGGCUUAAGUGUUAUACUUAAUGGCUCCUAAAUCAAUUUGCUCUAUAGAAUUAUUGGUGCAGCUUUGAUCAAACUUUGCCUUUAGCUAAAUCUCUGCAAUUACAUUGGAAGAUAAGAGGCUGCUGUCCGAGAACAGCUGAAAUCAAAAUGUAAAGACCUUUAAGUCACACAUAUGCCUCAGAGAAUAAAAUUUGAUCUGCGGAAGUUAUUUUCUGCA